rnacentral:rRNA from 1 species
UACGGGGGGGGGCAAGCGUUGUUCGGAAUUACUGGGCGUAAAGGGCUCGUAGGCGGCCAACUAAGUCAUACGUGAAAUCCCUCGGCUUAACCGGGGAACUGCGUCUGAUACUGGAUGGCUUGAGUUCGGGAGAGGGAUGCGGAAUUCCAGGUGUAGCGGUGAAAUGCGUAGAUAUCAGGAGGAACACCAGUGGCGAAGGCGGCUUCCUGGACACCAACUGACGCUGAGACGCGACAGCGUGGGGAGCAAACAGG